UGUAUUAUUUCAGGUCAAGUAUGUUGCAAAAAAGGGUCUGUGAAACCUCCGCCCCCAAAACCUAUCGCUUGCCCGUACAAGUGUACCUCGUCCUACAAUUGUGAGGAAUCGGAGCCGUCGGGAGCCUGUCCCUUCUACAGCGACGUCUGUUGCAAGAAGGAAAAACAUAUCUUCGGCAUAAGUUUUCACAAACCGUGCCCGUACAACUGUGUGAGCCUGUUCCACUGUGACUACGUAGAGUUUCCCUUCUCAUGUGGUGCCGGAAGCCCUGGCGUGUGCUGUCGUCCUGAAAACCAGCGUACCUUCAGCUUUGGCAGUCUCUUUGACACAUUCAAGGUA